rnacentral:rRNA from 1 species
GAUGAACGCUGGCGGCGUGCCUAAUACAUGCAAGUCGAGCGAACAGACGAGGAGCUUGCUCCUCUGACGUUAGCGGCGGACGGGUGAGUAACACGUGGAUAACCUACCUAUAAGACUGGGAUAACUUCGGGAAACCGGAGCUAAUACCGGAUAAUAUAUUGAACCGCAUGGUUCAAUAGUGAAAGACGGUUUUGCUGUCACUUAUAGAUGGAUCCGCGCCGCAUUAGCUAGUUGGUAGGGUAACGGCUUACCAAGGCAACGAUGCGUAGCCGACCUGAGAGGGGGAUCGGCCACACUGGAACUGAGACACGGUCCAGACUCCUACGGGAGGCAGCAGUAGGGAAUCUUCCGCAAUGGGCGAAAGCCUGACGGAGCAACGCCGCGUGAGUGAUGAAGGUCUUCGGAUCGUAAAGCUCUGUUAUUAGGGAAGAACAAAUGUGUAAGUAACUAUGCACGUCUUGACGGUACCUAAUCAGAAAGCCACGGCUAACUACGUG